rnacentral:snoRNA from 1 species
CCCCUCCAGAUUCCACGAAUCCCCCUCAGAUUCAAAUGUUGAUCUGAGUGGCUAAAAUAGGAGGAAAUGUAUAACUGACAUGCACUUGGUGUCUUUCAUAAUGUAUAAAUUCAUUUCAAACAUAU